AGUGCCAACGUGCAUGUGAACUUCAGAAUUAAACAAGGGCUAUUGUUUUUGCCUGGGAGCUUCAUUCAUUCUGAAGAUGUCACAGGGAAUUUUGGAAUGUAUAUCCAUAACUUCCUGAAUUUCUCCCACAUUCCAGCCCACCUGAUCAAUGGAGGCAAAAACCAAGAGAUCCCAUAAAUCCUGCUGCGCUCGUCAGAGCUGCCAAGUACUGGAUCGAACGGAGAGCUCUCAGAGCUGUGUGUUAGCUAAACAGCAGAUUCAACUCAGAAGAAGAGUGAUUUGGAAUUAAAGCCAUAGAGACCACUGAUGACAGCAUGAACUCCCAAUUUCUCGGCACACCUGGGGGACACGUUGAGGAGUGUCACUCUCUGAUCUCUCAGCUGGUUGAGAAAAAUCUGUACCAGUUGUUACCCUUGCUGGAGCCAGACAGGGUCAUCUGACCACAGCAGGAGGCAGCGAGGAGCAGCAGGCGUGGAGCCGAGACAAGAUUUCAGCGGGAGGACAGUUUCCUGGAAGAAGCUUGGUCCAGAAGCUCCAUCUCAGGGUCCCAUGAGCACCUUUCAGAGCUUCCCUCUCCCUAGCAUCCAUCUCCAGGAGCUUUGAAAAAAUGCUUGCAUUUUUAAGAAUUUUUUAAAAACUUUAUGUCAAAGCAACACACACACACAGGAACAAAUAUAAAAGUAGAAGAGAGAUGAUGUUGAAAAGCAGCCUUCUCACUCCAGCCCUUUCCCAAAAGGGACUUUAGCUGGCCCUUGCUUUAAUUCUUCUGGAAUUUCCUGUGCUGCUCUAUGAUUAUACCUCUACUGUUUCAUUUAUCAAUUUUGGGCAAUAUCUUUUGACUCCUAAGUAGGAAGAUAAGGAUUUAGCUCACCUACCCACUCUUUCCUCUUUGCCCUCCUCUCUCUUUUAAUUUUGUAACUGCUUUAUUGAGCUGGAAUUCACAUACCAUAAAGUUCACCCUGUUAAAAUGUCCAA